rnacentral:rRNA from 1 species
UACGGAGGGUGCUAGCGUUGUUCGGAUUUACUGGGCGUAAAGGGCGCGUAGGCGGAUGUAUCAGUCAGAGGUGAAAGCCCCGGGCUUAACCUGGGAAUUGCCUUUGAUACUGUACAUCUAGAGUCCGAGAGAGGGUGGUGGAACUCCAAGUGUAGAGGUGAAAUUCGUAGAUAUUUGGAAGAACACCAGUGGCGAAGGCG